rnacentral:rRNA from 3 species
GAAGUGAAGAGUUUGAUCCUGGCUCAGAUCGAACGCUGGCGGCGUGGCUAAAGCAUGCAAGUCGAACGAUGCAUGUAGCAAUACAUGCAUAGUGGCGGACGGGUGAGGAAUGGAAGGAUAACGUACCCGGGACUCGGGGAUAGCGGCAGGGGCAACCCUUUGCGAAAGCGCCGGUAAUACCCGAUGACCCCGCGAGGUCGCAUGGCCUUGCGGGCAAAGCUCCGACGGUCCCGGAUCGGUCCUUUCCCUAUCAGCUAGUUGGUGAGGUAACGGCUCACCAAGGCUUCGACGGGUACCGGGUGUGAGAGCAUGACCCGGCACAUCGGAACUGAGACACUGUCCGGACACCUACGGGUGGCUGCAGCAACGAAUCUUCCGCAAUGGGCGCAAGCCUGACGGAGCGACGCCGCGUGCAGGAGGAAGUCCUUCGGGAUGUAAACUGCUGUCAGGGGUCAGAAACACAAUGAUCGGCCCCGGAGGAAGCCCCGGCUAACUUCGUGCCAGCAGCCGCGGUAAUACGUAGGGGGCAAGCGUUGAUCGGAAUCACUGGGCUUACAGCGCGUGUAGGCGGGGCGGCAGGUCUUCUGUGAAAGCCCCCGGCUCAACCGGGGAAUUGCAGGGGAAACCGCCGCUCUUGAGGCAGGUAGAGGUGACCGGAACGUGUGGUGGAGCGGUGAAAUGCGUAGAUAUCACACGGAACGCCGGUGGUGAAAACGGGUCACUGGGCCUGUCCUGACGCUGAGACGCGAGAGCGUGGGGAGCAAACAGGAUUAGAUACCCUGGUAGUCCACGCUGUAAACGAUGUGCACUAGGUACGAGAGAGUCUGACCUCGAUCGUGCCGAAGGAAAACUGCUAAGUGCACCGCCUGGGGAGUACGGCCGCAAGGCUAAAACUCAAAGGAAUUGACGGGGGCUCACACAAGCGGUGGAGUAUGUGGAUUAAUUCGAAGCAACGCGAAGAACCUUACCUGGGUUUGACAUGCACGGAUGGUCUUGGUGAAAGCCGAGUAAUCUGCCUUCGGGUGAAACGUGCACAGGUGCUGCAUGGCUGUCGUCAGCUCGUGCUGUGAAGUGUCGGGUUAAGUCCCUUAACGAGCGAAACCCUUGUCGUUAGUUGCCAGCGGGUCAUGCCGGGAACUCUAGCGAGACUGCCGGCGUUAAGCCGGAGGAAGGUGGGGACGACGUCAAGUCAUCAUGGCCCUUAUGCCCAGGGUAUCACACGUACUACAAUGCCCGGUACAGAGCGAGGCGAGACCGUGAGGUGGAGCAAAUCGCAGAAAACCGGGCCCAGUUCAGAUUGGAGUCUGAAACCCGACUCCAUGAAGUUGGAAUCGCUAGUAAUCGCGCAUCAGCCAUGGCGCGGUGAAUGUGUUCCUGAGCCUUGUACACACCGCCCGUCAAGUCAUGGGAGCUGGGAGCACCCGAAGUCCGCUUAGCUAACCGCAAGGGGGCGGCGGCCGACGGUGAGACCGGUGACUGGGACUAAGUCGUAACAAGGUAGCCGUAGGGGAACCUGUGGCUGGAUCACCUCCUUUCUAG